rnacentral:rRNA from 1 species
AGCUUGCUCUCGGGUGACGAGUGGCGGACGGGUGAGUAAUGUCUGGGAAACUGCCUGAUGGAGGGGGAUAACUACUGGAAACGGUAGCUAAUACCGCAUAACGUCGCAAGACCAAAGAGGGGGACCUUCGGGCCUCUUGCCAUCAGAUGUGCCCAGAUGGGAUUAGCUAGUAGGUGGGGUAACGGCUCACCUAGGCGACGAUCCCUAGCUGGUCUGAGAGGAUGACCAGCCACACUGGAACUGAGACACGGUCCAGACUCCUACGGGAGGCAGCAGUGGGGAAUAUUGCACAAUGGGCGCAAGCCUGAUGCAGCCAUGCCGCGUGUAUGAAGAAGGCCUUCGGGUUGUAAAGUACUUUCAGCGGGGAGGAAGGCGAUACGGUUAAUAACCGUGUUGAUUGACGUUACCCGCAGAAGAAGCACCGGCUAACUCCGUGCCAGCAGCCGCGGUAAUACGGAGGGUGCAAGCGUUAAUCGGAAUUACUGGGCGUAAAGCGCACGCAGGCGGUCUG